CUUAAACUCCGAUCCCCAAAACCAAAAAUCACCACCACCUCCACUGAUGAGUUUCCUCCUCCUCCAUUAGCAAAUCAAAUCAAUGGCAUCAAAAGUCUCAUCAACAACAUUACUCACAUUCCUCAUCUUCUUAACCUGUCUACUUCUUUAUCUCUACUCAACAAUCCUCCCAUUCUUCAAAUCACAAACCCAAUCAACACCACCCUUUUCAAAUUUCAAGAACAACCCACCACCAUGUAAUUACUUCAAAGGAGAAUGGAAAUCAGACCCAAAUCGAAAACCCAUUUAUGAUUCAACCUGCCCAUUUCACAGAAACUCAUGGAACUGUUUGAAAAAUGGUAGGGAGAAUAUGGAAAAGAUCAAUUCAUGGAAAUGGGUACCUGAGAAUUGCGGUGCUUCUUUUGAUAGAAUGAAUCCAUUGGAAUUCUUGGAGUUUAUGAGGGAUAAGAGUAUUGGGUUUAUUGGUGAUUCAUUGAAUGAGAAUUUUAUUACCAGUUUUCUUUGUAUUUUGAGAGGAGGUGAUGAUGGGGCAAUGAAAUGGAAGGGGAAGAAGGGGGUUUGGAGAGGGGGGUAUUUUCCUAGGUUUAAUGUUACGGUUGCGUAUCAUCGAGCCGUGUUGCUUGCGAAUUACGAGUUUCAGCCAAUACCACAGUUAGAACAGUCGAAAUAUCCCGGACUAAAGGGGGUAUACCGCGUGGAUGUGGAUGUUCCAUCAGAUAAAUGGGCUGACGUCACAAAGUUCUACGAUGUCCUGGUGUUCAAUACUGGGCACUGGUGGGGAUAUGAUAAGUUUCCAAAAGAGACUCCUCUCGUCUUUUAUAGGGAUGGAAAACCGAUAGUUCCUCCCUUGGGAAUACAAAGUGGUCUUAAAGUCGUACUUGAGAGUAUGGUAUCUUACAUACAAAGGGAAGUUCCUCUUACGACCCUCAAGUUCUGGCGUUUACAGUCACCUCGGCAUUUUUAUGGUGGAGACUGGAAUCAAAAUGGGAGUUGUUUAUUUGACAGUCCUUUUGAAGAAAGUCAGGACAAAUAUUGUGCUUUCUGCUGAAAUGGCAUAGUUAAUGGGAGUAAGUGACAUGGGGAAUGGUCAGAAAUCAACACUCUUUUGGCUCUGUCAAAGGUGGGUCAACCCAUGUUGACAUAGUUAAUGGCAUCCUUCCAAAUGGAGGCAAAAUCAGCAAUGGAGGGGCCUUAAUGCUGUGAGGAUAAUAAUGUUUGUCCUGGUGCUGAUAGGAAUCAGUCAAAUAUGGAGAGUGAAAGUGAACGGAAUGAUUAUUAAAUGACUCGAUGAAUAGACUGAGAUUACUCUGGCAUGGGGUGUAAAAGACGACUUAACAAAGCUUAAGAAAACCUUGGAAUUGAUUCAAGCUUUAAUUUCUGAUGCUGAGAGAAAGCAAGUAAAUGAUGCCACUGUCAGGCUUUGGUUGAGUAGGCUUAAAGCUGUUGUUUAUGAUGCCGACGAUGUUAUGGAUGAGUUCUCUUAUGAAACCAUGCGUCGUCAUGAAAUGGGAAGGAAAUUCAAACACAAGGUCAUCAAGUGGUGGAACAUGUCGUAUCUGGGAUGUUGUAGGUACUCACAGUCUAUCUUCCAAGACCUAUUGACCCCGCAGAUGAUGAGUUUGUUUCUUCAUAUAUUGACUUGUUUACUAGGCGUUGGGAAUUUCCAACUUAAGGGAAUAUGCAAACUCACCGUAGGAAAGAGCAAUGACCCUUCAUCAAGCACUGUUAUGCAGAGCCAUCAAAUACUAUGGUGUGUGUACAAUGCAAACGGAACUGUUUUGUCAUCAGAAAAAUAAAUUUAAAUCCAAGACAUGAAGACUUUAAAGUAGGCCAACAUUACUGACAGUGGAUAUUCAUAUGUAUUGGUAUGUACGACGUAAUUGGGUUAGGUUUUAUUUGGCAGUACAUAUUAGUAUGGAAAUUUGAAAUCUUAUAAUGUAAAUGAUGGACUAUGUUGCAUUCUUUGCAUUUUUCUUUUCUUUUUUUUGGUUUUUUUCUCUUAACUAUUAUAUGUAGAGUUAUAUUGAUGUUCU